GCCAGGUCGAAGAGAAAGGACUUGGACCUUCUCUGUUCUUUUCCAAUGAAGUAAAGUUGAAAGAUGGUUCCGUGCUCGAGCGCUCAGCGGCUUAUGAACUACAAAUGCAGGACACUGACUGUUUCAACUUUGAGAUGAGUGUUGGCAGUUACGGUUUUCCAUUCAGUGACUAGACACCGCGAUAUUCGUCGUGACGGACGAAAUGGGCUAGUGAAGGGAGUACGGCGAUGUGUCACAAGUGGAGAGUCACGCCAUGACAAAGCAGGAAGCGUUUUGGCCAACGCCUGCACAUAUGCGCUCGCGGUGCGGCAAAGCGGGGGACGAAUGCUGGUGAAGGACCUGCGCAGUGAAGAUCAUAUAUCUACAUAUCGGAGGGCAACAGUAGUUGGACUCAGCGGCUUUUGCUAUCCGACUACGCUGAUGCAGUCCAGCGCAUAGACGGCCAGUAUUCAACGGUACAUGCACUUACUGGAAGUGGGAAAGGUGGCAAGUGCGGUGUGAAGUCAGCUCAGAGGCGGUUUGUGGCCACGAACGUGGCCGGGAUGCGGGGAGUCAUCGCUCCGUCACCAAGGGCCACGGUAAUGAAAGUGAUCAUGAUGUGGGAGGGAUUUUCCGCUCAUGUCCUGAGGAGCUGCGUCCGCCUUCGUUUCCGGUCGCUCGCCAACCGGUGAUGCCAGCAGUGCCUCACCGCCGACAGUCUCGCCGCUCUCGCUGGAGACGCAGGGCCCGCCAAGCGGCGCAGCGUUGCGCUGCUCUCGCCGCAAUCUCCUGUCUAUAACCUCAUAGGAAUUCCAUUCGACAAGACUCUUGCGUAGCCUAAACCACACUGUCCAUUGCCUGUUGCGUUUGUGCAUGUGUAGGCCUCGUUAUGUGUGAACAGUCCACCUGUUCCUGCAAUGGUUGUAAAAUGGCAUGCGUAUGACCAGGGAGUCGUGUUUUGCAGGGAGUCAUAACGUUAUUUUUGGACUCGUAUCUUUACGACUCCCUGCGUUUGACGUAUGGCUGUGUCACAGAGAGUGUUGUGCGUGUUUGCAGCUUGUGAGGUUGGAGCAUUGUAUUCAUCCGCGUGGAACAGACGGUGGGGGAAUCAGUAUGCGUGUUACGCAUGCCUGCAUUCUGAGUUGGCUGCUCGCUUCUAGUUGAAGCAGAAUUUCUUGUUGGCAAUCUCACUUCAUGUUGCGCAGUGGCCAGCGCCCUUAAAUGACUCUUUGAAUAUGAAA